UACAGAGGUGCGAGCGUUGUCCGGAAUCACUGGGCGUAAAGGCGCGUAGGCGGCCUGAUAAGUCGGGGUGAAAUCCUGUGGCUUAACCACAGGGCUGCCUCCGAGACUGUCGGGCUCGAGCACAGUAGAGGCAGGUGGAAUUCCCGGUGUAGCGGUGGAAUGCGUAGAGAUCGGGAGGAACACCGGGUGGCGAAGGCGGGUCUCUGGGCAGUA
rnacentral:rRNA from 1 species